rnacentral:rRNA from 1 species
GGAUCGCAGGCUGCAACCCGCCUGCGUGAAGUUGGAAUCGCUAGUAAUCGCGGAUCAGCAUGCCGCGGUGAAUACGUUCCCGGGCCUUGUACACACCGCCCGUCACACCAUGAGAGUCGGGAACACCCGAAGUCCGUAGCCUAACCGCAAGGGGGGCGCGGCCGAAGGUGGGUUCGAUAAUUGGGGUGAAGUCGUAACAAGGUAAC